rnacentral:rRNA from 1 species
GGAAUAUUGCACAAUGGGGGAAACCCUGAUGCAGCGACGCCGCGUGAGUGAAGAAGUAUCUCGGUACGUAAAGCUCUAUCAGCAGGGAAGAAAAUGACGGUACCUGACUAAGAAGCCCCGGCUAACUACGUGCCAGCAGCCGCGGUAAUACGUAGGGGGCAAGCGUUAUCCGGAUUUACUGGGUGUAAAGGGAGCGUAGACGGCAGCGCAAGUCUGGAGUGAAAUGCCGGGGCCCAACCCCGGAACUGCAUUGGAAACUAUGUAACUAGAGUACCGGAGAGGUAAGCGGAAUUCCUAGUGUAGCGGUGAAAUGCGUAGAUAUUAGGAGGAACACCAGUGGCGAAGGCGGCUUACUGGACUGUAACUGACGUUGAGGCUCGAAAGCGUGGGGAGCAAACA